CAAUAGCGUAUAUUAAAGUUGUUGCAGUUAAAAAGCUCGUAGUUGGAUCUGUGGUGUGCGGUGGGCUCCGGGCACUUGUUGUCUGAGUAGCUCGCCGCUGCCAUCCUUGGGUGGAACCUGUGUGGCAUUAGGUUGUCGUGCAGGGGAUGCCCAUCGUUUACUGUGAAAAAAUUAGAGUGUUCAAAGCAGGCUUAUGCCGUUGAAUAUAUUAGCAUGGAAUAAUGAGAUAGGACUUUUUCGCUAUUUUGUUGGUUUGCGCGAAGAGGUAAUGAUUAAUAGGGACAGUUGGGGGUAUUCGUAUUCCAUUGUCAGAGGUGAAAUUCUUGGAUUUUUGGAAGACGAACCACUGCGAAAGCAUUUACCAAGGAUGUUUUCAUUAA
rnacentral:rRNA from 1 species